GGAGGUAUAGCUCAAGUGGUAGAGCGCAUGCUUAGUGUACACAAAGUCGUGGGUUCAAUCCCUAGUACCGCCA
rnacentral:tRNA from 1 species